GACGAACCGUGCGAACGUUGUUCGGAAUCACUGGGCUUAAAGGGCGCGUAGGUGGGCUGUCAAGUCCGGGGUGAAAGCCCCCCGCUCAACGGGGGAAUGGCCUUGGAUACUGGCGGUCUUGAGGAAGGUAGGGGCGUGUGGAACUUCCGGUGGAGCGGUGAAAUGCGUAGAUAUCGGAAGGAACGCCGGUGGCGAAAGCGGCACGCUGGACCUUUUCUGACACUGAGGCGCGAAAGCCAGGGGAGCGAACGGG
rnacentral:rRNA from 1 species